AGUGACCUGCCUGCCCUGAUGGAUUCGGACUACAAGGAGAUGUUAAUAGACGACCUUCUUCCCCUCUCUCCUACAUCCCACCACCCCAACCUCCAAUGACUCAGACUAACGAGCUGUCAAUACCGCCACCACCUCUCAGCCUUCCAGUGUACUCGCUGUCUUCCCAAUUCUGAGGAACUUUUCCUGCUGGAUUUGAAACUGGGAGAAUAGGAGCCUAAAGCUACUGGGUGCUACCACCUGAAGUGAGCCUACCAGAGACAGACAUGAGCCUACAUGAAGGAGACAUGGAAAGACACGAAGGCGAGCCUGCUGCCACCAUUUAAGCCCCCAGAUCCUGCCAUUUCAGAAGCCAGAUAUCCCCCAGCCAGUACCACUGUGCUAUGUACCUCCAGACCUGUUGAGUGGUGCUCCCUGGAGUUAGACAACAUGCUAACCUGUGCCAGCCUCUCAGGAGAGACUGGACAAGAAAUGAUGACUCUAUUAGCACAAAUCUGUGACUACUACUUGAAAAAAGCCUCAGAGAACAUUCUGUGCUGACAUUGGGCCCAGACUAUUGUUUUAAUAUGUGAAGAACAAAAUGUCCACGUUAUCGCUGUAACUUCUUCCCCCAUCAUCUCCUCACUUCUGUCCACUGGUCCUUUUUUACUCUAUUGCCAAUGUUAUCUCUGGCUGUUAUUCCAAUGACAUUAACUCAUCUAUUCCCUAUAUUCAGAAAUCUCAAAGAUUCCCUCUGAAUCAGAAUCAGACUCACAAUUAUGUUCUAGGCUUCACCUACUUGGUGUCCUUACCUUUGCCCCUUUCUGCUAUAAAUCAUUAAACUAAAGAUCUCUCUCUUUUGCCCAUAUUAGCCUUCUCAUGACGUUGUCCAAGGCUCCCACCCAGGACAGCCUUGCAUGGAAGUGGUCUCCAAGAUUGUAUAAUUGAAAUGCAGCUGCCAAAAUUCCCCCAAAGAGUCUUCCAUAUGCUAGUCACCAUGCUUUAGAUUAGCUCUUGGGGAUUUCUUCUUUUUGAUUAAAAAGCUGACUAACCAGCUGGGGACCCUGCCAUGGCCUCUGUCAUGCUGUAAUCUGCACUAGUCAAGGGAGUUGUAGGAAGAACCCAGGGAGGCCCAAGAAACCUAGAAAUGAACUCAGUGGCCAUUGAGGGUGUCGCUGUGAACUACACCUUGGAAGAGGGGGCUUUACUGGAUCCUUCACGGAAGAAACUCUACAGAGACGUGAUGUGGGAAACCUUUAAGAACCUGUCCUCAAUGGAAGUCAUGUGGUAGACAGACUUCAUGAAGGGAAAGAGAGUAGUCAACAUGGAGAGAACUUCAGCCUUAUUACAGAUCACAAUCUGAAAAAUAAAACUGUUGGAGUGGAUCUAAGUGAAUGCAGUGCACGUGGAAAAGUCUUCAUGCAUCAUUCAUCCCUUAAUAGGGAUGUAAACAGCAUGGAAAAGACUUCAAUUGGCCCACAUCCUAAAAUGUGAAAAAUCCCACUGAAAAGAAAUAUAAAUGUAAGUACUAUGAGACAGCUUGGUGGAGCCUAGUUUCAUGUGAAUUAUUAUUUUCAUAUUUGGGCCUUUGCUUGUUGUCCAUCCUUCUGACUGGUAUUUGGUGAAUAGACUUUGAACUAAGAAGAGAGACCUGUGAUAGGACAACAAAAUACAGAGUUGGAGACAGCCUCCCCAUGAAUAAUGUUAGGAACUAGGUUUUCCAUUAUCUAUGCCCUUUAUGGUCCCAUGUUAAAAUUUACCAAUAGCUUCACUUGCAUGAGCUUGGGAAGGCAGUGGCAAAAACACAUUGGUCAUAUUUUUGAACCACCAUACAGAGAGAGAGACAGAUACAUAGGAGCUUUGAGGAUACCAUCUUUCAGCCCACUUUCUGGAUUCUUACCCUUCCAAUCAAGAGCAUCCUCAAAACUACCACCAACUAUUUGGUUACCAUUUUCUUAGAGGUUGAGGUUUCCACUGAUGUCUUCACAAGAUCCACAUCAAAGAUCCACCAGAGUUUAGAUAUUUAUGUAGGCCUUCUUGUGUCCACCAGGAAAUUAAUUCAGACUUUCAUGCUUGGGAGUAUUCUCUGAUACCCCUCUUCUCUAGAUUAUAUCCAUAUAAGGUCUAAUUUGUAUAGUAAUCAUCUUAUGCUGUGAAUAGUGCUAGUGAGUGUGUUUUCCUAAUUCAUCAUGACAUCUACAAUGGUGCAGUCAAAAAGACGUCAUGACACCAUGUCUUCUCAGACAAGGGAAACAAAAGAAAGAAUAAACAAGUGGGACUUCAUG